rnacentral:rRNA from 1 species
AUUGAACGCUGGCGGAAUGCUUUACACAUGCAAGUCGAACGGUAGAGGGGGCAACCCCUCGAGAGUGGCGAACGGGUGAGUAAUAUAUCGGAACGUGCCCAGUCGUGGGGGAUAACGUAGCGAAAGUUACGCUAAUACCGCAUACGAUCUAAGGAUGAAAGCGGGGGAUCGCAAGACCUCGCGCGAUUGGAGCGGCCGAUAGCAGAUUAGGUAGUUGGUGGGGUAAAGGCUCACCAAGCCAACGAUCUGUAGCUGGUCUGAGAGGACGACCAGCCACACUGGAACUGAGACACGGUCCAGACUCCUACGGGAGGCAGCAGUGGGGAAUUUAGGACAAUGGACGCAAGUCUGAUCCAGCCAUUCCGCGUGCAGGAUGAAGGCCCUCGGGUUGUAAACUGCUUUUGUACGGAACGAAAAGGUCUCUCUUAAUACGGGGGGCUCAUGACGGUACCGUAAGAAUAAGCACCGGCUGACUACGUGCCAGCCGCCGCGGUAA